CUCCAAAAUACUUAGUAAUUAGAGAUGCUACUCAUCAGGAGGAAAAUGACAAAGUUGACAUUUCUACUGAAAAGUCACUGGAGCCAAAGAAUCUGUCUCCAAAUAUAUUAAUGAGAGGAAGUUGCUUCAGGAUGGUGGUUGGUGGUAAUCACUAAUUCUAAAAAUAAUAUUUUCUUUCCAUCAGUUCUACCAAGUCCACUCAGGUCCCCAGAAGUCUCAUCUUCUUUGUAAAGUCAUAUCGGAUAAUGGGCUUGGCUUUCAUAGACUAUAGUAGAAAGAAUGUCAAAGAGUGUUCUGAUUCUACCCUGCUAAUGAGGUGUACUAAACUGUGGGGUAGGCCUAGAGUUCAUUGGCAUUGACACAUUGGAUUGGCUAGCAAAAUCCAAGCCACACACAGAGCAGAGUCUCUGAGGGAGAGGGAACAAACUCAAGGUAUCUCAACUACUCUGUCCUGCCAUGGUCUAAAAGGCUAAUAAUAGUCUCAGUUCAUCCUCAGGGAAUUCCAGUCUUACUCACAGCCAACAAAGUCCAAACAUAAAGGGUGAACAGAUGUUCCUCUUCUUCUCCUUUCCAGAAUCAGCUUCCCCUACUAGUCUCCUCCAGGGUCACCUGGAGCUUUCCCCUGUGUGGAAAGCCCAUCAUUCCCUUCUGACAUGUAGCUGCAUCCUCACUCUUAAUUAGCAGGUCUUGUUUCACACAGACACCCAAGAACCUGCCUUGGCAGCUACAGUUGGGUCUGGGAUGUUCACAUAAUUAGUGUCCCACGUAUAAAAAAAAAAAAUAAACACAGGUCUUUCUCUCACUGACAUAGACCACCCCUCAUUGUGCAACUUUGAUGUAUUAUUAUGCUAAGACCCCCUGUCCACCUUGGCUAGAGAUGGGAAGGAUAAAAGGGAACGCCUGACCUUGCCAUAUAUAGGAACCCUGAUUCCAGCCUGGAGCUGCCAAUAUCCGUUACAUGCAUUUAGGAAACGCACUUCUCUCUGGGUCUCAGUUUCCUCCUUUGAAAAAACACUCUCAGGACAUCAGAUUCAGUCCCAGCACUAAUGUCAGUCUUGCUUUUCUGCCAUUUACCCCGUAUCACACUCUUUAGUGCCGGAGAGUCUGAGGCUGUGUACGUGUUAUUGUUUCUUCCCAAUUUAAUAUUAAACUCAUUGACUCGCUGCAUCUUAGAACCCAAAGAGAUUCUAGCCAACUUCAAAUCAGGCUCAGAAAGGAGGCAUGGCCAGCCCAAACUCAAAGCUGUUACCAUCCAUACCGCACAUUGUCCCCAACGGGAUUCAUGGCAGUUUAAUAGAAU
rnacentral:lncRNA from 1 species